rnacentral:tRNA from 1 species
AAAGAGUUAAUUUAAUUUAAAAUAUUAACUUGUCAAGUUAAAAAUAUCAAUAUGAUACUUUUUA